CACUAGACUCCAUUCGCCGCUACCGUCAUUUCUACCGGAGCGGAUCGGCGGUACGAGCGACGAGUUGAAUUUCGGACGCCAAGGGCGUAGAAUUUGGGAUUCUAGGGAGACUCUCAGUAAGUCAGGGAACAGAGACCGGCCGGGUGAUAGAGCUCCGUAAUAGUAGAGAGCUGAGACCCUGAUACAUAGGGUGAGUUUUUGUACUAGGGGAGAUGUAAUUCCCCUAGAGUUGAAUAGUAAUUUUUAGUAUGGG